AAAAACAAAGAUUACAAGAAGUAGACAUUGAAAUAUAAGAUAGAAUACACCUAAAAUUGUUCAACAACUCAGAACCAAACAAUUUUCAUGAACUGUCUCCUUCUCUUCUCCUUGCGGCAGAUUGGGUGAGGAUGAUUUCUGGGGGGUUUGUGUGAUGUAGAAUGGAUUAUGGAUGGUGUAGGGGCACGGCAAGGCUUGGGGGUAGUGUAUGGGUGUUGUGUGGAAGGUGUGGAGAUGAAGAAUGGUGGUGGAAAUCGGCAGAGAUGGAGGAGGAAUGGUUUCUGAGGUUGUGGAUGGGGUUUGACGAAUUUGGGAGAGUGUGUGGCUGAAUGGAGAUGUUUGUGGCUGCACAAACCUGUUUAUUUAAAGGGAUUAGGAAAUUAAAAACCCUAGGCUAAUUAGGUAAUCAGGAAUUAAGUUUAAAACUUCUAGAAUUAAGGAAACAAAUCAGAAAAUUAAAAGGAAAGGUCAAGGAAAUUCGGCCAGGGUUUAAAGCAUAAAAAGGAAGGUGUUUUAAUGCUCCAAAACAGGAAAGAGCCCUCUCCCUUGCACGGCAAGGAAGAGGAAAGGGCAAGGGAGUGUGGCAAGGGGUCCAUAAGGGUUCUAGGCUUUUGUUUUGUGUCCUAGAAUGCUUAGAAAAUCUUCAUAAUUGCUGGAACUUUUAGGGACAAUUAGGAAAAAUCAAACCAAAGUAGGAAACCUUGGCUUAACUUUCCUACUUCAAGUAGGAAUCCUUGUUGGAGUAGGAAUCCUUGUUCUUCUAGGAAUCCUCUUGUGAUUAGGAAUCCAUCUUCAAUUAGGAAUCCUUCGUCAAUUAGGAAUCCUUCGUUGAUUAGGAAUCCUCCUUCAUGUAAGCACUUUCCUACUUCAACUAGGAAACCUUGUUCAAGUAGGAAUCAUCAUCUUCAAGCCUUCAAAUUCGUCCAAACCUUGGCUCCAAAUAUGUGACAUGCAUUCCAAACUCCAUUUUGCUUCUUUUUGCACACUUUGACCUUAGAACCUGAAAACACACAAAAGUGACUUUAAACACUAAAAUAGCUAAGUAAACACAACCUAAAUGCACGAGAACAAGCCAAUUAAGUAGCAUAAAUAUGCUCCUAUCAAAUUCCCCCACACUUAGCUUUUGCUAGUCCUCGAGCAAAACAAACAAAAGGAAGGAAACAAAACGAAACAAACUAACCAAAACAAAACCUAAACCUUCCAACGUUUGCCUCAGGGAUUUCCAAUGCACAUGACAUGUUAAAGAUUGUUAUCCCCACAGAUUUGAGUCAUCUUUACACAAGCACAUACUUAAUUAAAGCCACUACUUACUAGUUCACAAGUAAUCAAUUAAAACAAUGCUUUGAAUGUAGUAACAUGCCUUAGAGAAUUCCCUCAAUUCCUUACAAGAUAUACACUCUAUUUUCACUUAGAUUUUCUAACUACACACCCUACACUAGUCAUAUGUGAGAAGAUUGAUGUAGAUAUGAAAACGAAUGCUCACAUAUAUGUAUCACAAAGAACGCAAUUUCUAGAGUUAAGAAGCAUGUUUAGAUAUGAUCUCAUGAAUGGAAUGCUACUACUUAGAUGCGAGAACCAGUGACACCAUAUGCUCAUACCAAAUUCAAACUCCACAAAUUGAAACACAUAACACUCAAGAUAGAAGUUAAGGGUUGUAAUGGGGCUUGGGUAUUGGCUAACAAGGAAAGGAAAGGGAAAACAAACGUUCUUCAAGCAAUAGUAAGCAAAGCAAUGAAAUUGAGACUUAGAAUUCACUUAGAUUGCAGAAAUUAACUUGAAAACACAAUUUGAAAGUUUCAGGGACUUUGAAUUUGGCCAGAUUUACUACGAUGGUUGUAAUUUGUCCCGUGUCAUCAAACUCAACUUCUUUGGGCUUUGUUGUUUCAAAUACGUCAUCUUUGAUGAAUUCUUGAUAUUCUCCAGCCACUACUUUCUCUUGAAUCAUUCUUCUUGGUGUACAAAGUCCUUUGAACAAUUCAACACAAUCUAGAACUUGCUUUGUUGCACUAAGAAUUGGAAUAUCAUUUUGCACCUUGGGAAGAGCUUCCACAAUGUCUUUUUCACUCUCUUCUUGCUUGGGAAUCAAAAACCUGCGAGUAAAAGGGACAUUGGGUGGAAUAGGGUUAGAAUUAACGAAAAUUGGACCCAACUUACCUAUAUUGGACAGUGGUGGAGCAUUGGGAGGCUGCGGCAAGGGUAGUGGAGCAAGGGUAGGCUGCGGCAAGGGUGGUUCUUCCCUUGCCGUGGCCUUGUCAUCCUCUUCUUCUUCGAACAACAGUUGUUCAUCCAUGUUUUGGAUUGGUUUGGACGUUUUUGGGCUUAUUCCAACCUCCAUGCCACUUUCCAAAGUGAUAGCAUCAUGGAUUUCAAAAUUUUCCUUCGACUUUUCAACAGUUGAGUUGGAGAGUUCACUUAGCUCUUGAAUUUGUACCAUGAAUUCCAUAAUCUCUCCCAUUUGACUCUUCAAUUUAUCCAACUUCUUGUCUUGAUUUUGUUGGUCCUGCAUCAAAGAGGUUAGUACUUGAAGAAUUUGAUCACUAUCCAUGGACGUACUUGAAUUUGAUUGGAAUUGUUGUGGGGUAUGCGGUGGUGGCUGCAUAGGCGUGGUGUAGAACUCCUCAUAUGGCUGCCAAUAUGCAUCUUGUUGAGCCUCCUUGGCUUGAUUUUGUGAGCCCUGCACCAAACAAUUUAAUUCCUUAAGAAUCUGAUUAUAAUCUAUUGACGAACCUGAGUUUAAUUGAGCAUAUUGCAUAGGUCUUGAAUAGAACUCCUCCUCUUGCUGCCAAUAUCCAUCUUGUUGGAAUUGUUGAGGUUCCCCCCACAUAUAAUUUGAAUGAUCUCUCCAAGCCGAAUUGUAAGUGUUGGAAAACAUGUUGUUGCUUGGUUGAUCAUAGCCUUGAUAAAUUCACGCAUCUUCGUUCACAGUGAAUUGAGGAUGUUGAUGAGUUUGAUAUUCGUGCCCAUAUGACACACCAAAUGUAGGGACACUUUGCAUUGUUGUCCUUCCGGCAAUUUGUGACAAUUGAGAAGUAAGAUUCGCCAAUUGAGCUUGAAUGUUAGCAAAAUCCAUGUCUUACUUCUCUAGUACCUGAAAUCAAAGAAACAAAACUAUAUCAAAUAUCAAAAGUAAAUAAAACAAAGCAAAACCAAAUUAGUAACUAAAACAAAACACACAAAAAAGAAAUAAAAAGAAACAACGAGGGAUUAGCAAAGUUGCUAAUCCCCGGCAACGGCGCCAAAAACACUCAAAACUGCCUUAAAACACUUUCUGGGCAGUUUUGGGACUCUAAUGCAAACUUGGACGAAUUUUGGUUUUCUAAUGACCUGAAACACUUAAAAACAUAAUCUAAGACAAGUUCUAACUAAUAUAAAUCAAAGAAAUAAAGUGGGGUUGAUUUUGGACGAAUUUAAAUUAAAUGGCAGAUUGUAAAGAAAACAGUAGACAAAAUUGUGAUGAAUUAAUGAAUGAUGGAAGAGCUAAGGGGUUCUUCUCCACACAUGAAAUAUAUGCAACGUAAAUCAAUUUCCAGUUAUCAAUUCAAUAAGUUGUGAACCUCGACACUCCAAGUUAAUUAGGUCCGCUUAAAUUAACUUUCAGAUUUCCCUAGAAUCAUUGAAUUGGAUGAAUAUGCAUCGCAAACAAAUUAUUCCUAACAAGUUCUCUAUAUGAACAGCAUGAUAAAGAUACAAGUUAGAAUCAUUAAGUUCUUUGGAAAUCAUAAGCAUCGACAAGGCAAUUGUAACUAUGAAAAGCAUGAUACUCCUGCCUGCCAUGAAUCUACUUAACACGAUCGUGACUAGCGAUCUUCACUACUUGCGAAUAUAAAUUCAUAACGAUUAGGUGUAACAAACUUAUAUUCUAGCACCAAAUUCCAGCAUGCAAAUCAAGCGUGCACUCUCUAUCAACAUACAAGAAUAAGUUUUGAAUUAAACGGUUAAGCAAAUUGUAUUCACGACUUAUGCAACGAUAACUGGAAGUAAUCAACUUAUUUCACAUAAAUAAACAUGGUUUCGAAUACACCCUUAGCCAAAACGAAUUUAGCCAAUCAUACUCAAUGAAAAACAAAGAUUACAAGAAGUAGACAUUGAAAUAUAAGAUAGAAUACACCUAAAAUUGUUCAACAACUCAGAACCAAACAAUUUUCAUGAACUGUCUCCUUCUCUUCUCCUUGCGGCAGAUUGGGUGAGGAUGAUUUCUGGGGGGUUUGUGUGAUGUAGAAUGGAUUAUGGAUGGUGUAGGGGCACGGCAAGGCUUGGGGGUAGUGUAUGGGUGUUGUGUGGAAGGUGUGGAGAUGAAGAAUGGUGGUGGAAAUCGGCAGAGAUGGAGGAGGAAUGGUUUCUGAGGUUGUGGAUGGGGUUUGACGAAUUUGGGAGAGUGUGUGGCUGAAUGGAGAUGUUUGUGGCUGCACAAACCUGUUUAUUUAAAGGGAUUAGGAAAUUAAAAACCCUAGGCUAAUUAGGUAAUCAGGAAUUAAGUUUAAAGCUUCU
rnacentral:lncRNA from 1 species